CCGACUUUCACUGACUUCCCUCCCGAGAAGCAGCAUCUGUGGUUUCGUCAGUUUGCGCAAGAAUUCAACUGGAAUUCUGAUGAUUCGCUCUCUAUCUAUCACCAUUUUGUCCAUAAAGUUAUGGACAACUAUGGGAAGCAGAUGUACGAGUGGAAGAAGAAGUGGGAAGUAAACAAGGUAGUUUUUAAUUUAUUAACAAUUUUUAAUUUAUUAAACUAUUUUUUAAAUUAUUAAACUUUUUUUUUUUUUAAAUUAAAAGGUCCCAAAGUCGAUGAACGACA